AUCUCUCAUUCCAGCUUCUAGAGAAUCUUGGAUAACUGAUUGGCGGUUUCAUGUGUAAGUUCACUUGUCAUGUCAGUCGUAUAUGUUUCAAAAGAUCUAAACUCCAGGUUUCUAAAUUUGCACGGCAGACUUUAUGAGAAUUCAUGUCCUUUCAAGUAAGUCAGCAAGGUCACUUGUUUACUAACCUUUUGGCUGCUACCCUUGAAUCUCCCUUUUUACUCCCUAAAGCGGGCCAUCUUAAUUUGAGGGUAAUCCUUCGCUACUUUUCAUGGACUUCAUCCACUGGUGAAAACCGACGAGAG